rnacentral:lncRNA from 10 species
CGCAAAUGCACAUGCACUAGUCUUGGAACACAAGGCCUCAUUGUGAGCUCUGGUUAGCAUCACAAUGAAUGUCACCAUUGCCUAGCAAAGAGUCCCUGCUGCUUGGUGGAGAAGGAGACCUCUGUGGAAGUGUGUUGGUUGUGGAGUCUUGCCUGUCUUCUCUAUGGUAUCCACGGGGUUGUCCCAUGAUCCUAGGAGAGGAAAAACAUAAGCCAGCCUGAAGAUACGUCAAGCACAGCCACAGGAAUAAACUGCAAAAUCCCUAAGAAUCCAAAAGGAUCUGCAGGAUUUCUCAAGCCUGCCUAGAUGUCCGCUACUGGACACCAUUCUCAGGCUGGCAAUUGCCACAGAGGGCAUCUGAGACAUUGUCUCAACUUCAUCUGCACCAGUGGGAGGCCUUUCCCAGGUGGGAGAACACUACUCCACUUUGGAAUUGCCAUUGUCAGUGUUCCUGGCUUUCCCAGAGAGCCACUGCAAGGCCCAGGAUGAAGGGAGGCAGUGAGAUUAAGGACACAAUCAUCUUUCACUGACAUCCAACUCUGGGACCUCAGGUAUGAUUCCAUCACCUAAAAACGUCUCAAACACUCACCAGACUAUAUUCCAAACUGAAUGGGACCUCAUUCUUGCACACAGCCUCUUUCAGAAAUGAAGUCAGAAAAGCAGUUUCCAGGGACCACCUCAGCGUCUCAAAACCCCUCCACUUCCAAUGGGAAAUGACCACAGAGAUGUUCUGAAGGGGCCCUAGGAGGAGACUUUUAGGGUCCCACAGUGGUUUGUCGCAUGUAUAAUUUUUCCUAAUACCAGGCCAAUUCUGUCUGUACCAUUUUCCACUGCUUAGGCACUGACAGCUCUGACAGCCGGGCACCAGAGCUGGCUUUAUGAAUGCUCAUGUGUUUGUCUCAGGGCACCAGGCCUGAGCUGUGAGCUCUGGCUAGAGUCACAAUGUAUGCCACCUUUGCCUAGCGACAAGUCCCUGCAGCUUGCCAGAGAAGGAAAACUCCUUGGAGGUGCAUCAGCAAUUGAAUCUCCCCUGUGUUCUCUUUGGGAUCCGUGGAAUAAUCCCAUGAUCCUAGGAGAGGGCAGAUAUUUGCCAGUGUGAAGAAACAUCAAGCAGAGCCCCAUAAAUAAACAGUGAAAUACCUAUGCAUCCAAAAUGAUCUGCACGAUGCCUCAGGCUUGCCUAAAGGUUGUGGGGUGAGUCUUUUUGAAAAUUGCCACGCUGCGAUUUUGAGGUACAGCCUGCCUGUGUUCCCCAGGGCUGUUAUCUCCCAGGUGGGGUUUCCUGCAGAACCACAAAGACUCAGAAGCUGUCAAGCUGUCUGUUUCUUUAGGAUUGUGGUGAAUCUUGGACAUCUGCAUGAGUCUGUGGCCUCAUGUGUUUGUGUGUGUGUGUAUGUGUGUAUGUGUGUGCCUGUAUGUGGAGUUCUCUUGAAGAAAUGUGGCUAACACACUUCAGAACUUCUCUUAUUUUUUUUUUUAUGUCUCACAAACGUUUGAUGGCCUUUCAUUGUGUCUCUACCUGGGCUGUGGGGCUCCAAAUUCUCUAAUUUUCUGCGGAUCGUGAAUCCACAGUGAAGUGGGAGGGGUGCUGAGACCCACCGGUGUCCAAAUCACCUGUGCCAAAAUAGCCACUCUACUAGAAAGAAGAGGAGCAUACCACACCAAAAAACACAUCUGCCAGUGUAUCAUAGGCAUAUGGCCAAUCCAAGAAGGGAUAGUAGCAGUCCUGUCUGCAGGGCCCCUUGAAUGUACCUUGAACUCAGUUCCCAGCCAAGCAGAUGCUUCAUAUUGUAAGGGGGCACUCCUCUAUUGUCUAUUGUCUUGGGAUGUCAUCCUGGGACACAGAGUGUGAGCAGCACUCUCUUCUUUUCUUGACUUCCUGUUCCUCAUCUGCCUAGGGUUUCCUCAUUCUGGCUUAACGACUUCAACACAAAACGUUUAAAACUUCACUUAGAACGAUCCUCAUGGGAAUCCAUUGUGUGAGUGUUUCCUUUUAAACACUGUCACGUUUUAAUGACUGGGCAGCUUUGAUACUUUUAAAACCAUAAAAUCCCAUUACAGCCACCAAUAAGGAAUGUCUUGUUUUCCCAUUUCUAUUGGAGGGCUGCUUGAUUCCUGUAAGAUAAGAAACAGGCUAUCAUGUCUGGCUUUGGCUGGUCAUCUAGCCUCUGUUUCAUUACACCUGCAUGGACUUCUCAUUUUAGAGAGUCUCUUCCUUUGGGCUGUUCCUGGAUGGGACUGCCUGGCACCACAGAUCACUUAGCUGCCAGGAACUUCAGCGAGCAUAAGAGACUUCAG